rnacentral:lncRNA from 1 species
GGGGAGAUGGUGAUGGAGGUGGGGGUGAAGCAUAGGUGGCAGAUUCCUCGUACUUUGUAGGUGGUGGGGGUGAUGCAUAGGUGGAUGUUUCUUUCUCAUAGUUUGUUGGUGGUGGAGGUGAGUAGUAUGAUGGUGGUUGUUCAUAGGUUUUUGGUGGUGGAGGUGAGUAGUAUGAUGAUGGUUGUUCAUAGGUUUUUGGUGGAGGUGGUGGAGAGUUAUAGUAAGGUGGAGGUGGAGACUCAUAAUUAGUCGGUGAUUCCUCAUAAUAUUUUGGUGGUGGAGGUGGAGGAGAAUUUUAGUAUGAAGGUGGUUUUUCAUAAUAAGCUAGUGGUGGUGGAGGCUAUGGAGUGAACGGCCUUGCAGAUAGGGUCCUUUAUGAUCCUUGGCUCUUUGCAAUUCCAACUGUGGAGCUAGAGGAUCAAAGUCCAAGGAGAGAAAUGCAUGUCACUUCUUUCAAAAACAGUUCACAGAGUCUGCGUGUUUCUAUGAUUGAAUGAACUUGGACCACCAGUGGCUUAUCUUACUUGUAAUCACUGAAUUUUUUCCACUAGAAUGAUAGUCAUAAACAUUUUUUUCACACUAAAGUAGCUGAACUUCAGCCACUAUAACAAGUGAUCACAUUCGAGCCGAGGGUGUAUUUUAUAUUUUAAAACUGCUUGGAUAUGUGUUACUUAAGCUCGGGGUUUUUCCGAAACAGCCUCUCUAUCUCUUAAGAGGUAAGGGAGUGUCUGCAUACAUUCUACCUUCCUUAGACCCCACCUUGUGGGAGUACAGUGGGUAUUCUCUUGUUGAUUAAUUUUGCUCCGUUGCUUUUUUCUCUUUUGGUUUCUCAAAUAUUAGCAUAUAUUUGCCUAUGUUUUUGACCAUCAGAAUGUGGCACUUCUCUACACCAACAUGCACUCAAUGUAUUUUACACAAAUUCUGACAGCCUUGCUGCAUCUUCAGAAUUCUGCACAUGCAGGCACAAGCUAACCUCGGUGUUGCCUUGCAAUGGAGGGAAUUUUAAAAAAUUCUGUGUGGUUGAACAAAUUUGAACUCAAAGGAACAGAAGCAAACUUUAUAAGAUAAGUACAUUAAAUAUCGGACUUGCUCUUCCAAUUCUCUCUUAAUUGCACCACUUUAUGAAGAUGAACUUUCAUCUUGUUUCUGUUUUGAGCAUCAUCAAAUUGUUCAUUGUCUGUGUAUAAGACUACAGAGGUAAAAACUAAAAAGGAGGAUCAUUAUGUAUACACAAGUGAGCGUGGAGGCUCAGCGAAAAAUGUUGUGAUAUGGCUCCCCUCAAGUUUGUGUUGGUUUAAAACCGUCAAAGGGAAAUAACACAAGAAUUCAAUUCAAAAGCUAGCCGCUAAAACAGAGAUGGAGUUUGAAGAAGAGAAUAUGCAGAGAGAAAGAGAGAGAUUAUUUUCUUGUUAAAAGACUGUCUAUAAUUGAUCAUCAACUUAGCAACUUAAAUAGUUGCUAUUACAACUAAAAAUAGGACAAAAAAAUAACUUACUUCUACCAAAAUUAAAAUAACUAAUUAGUUUUUUACCAAAGAUAGGACUCCUAAUUUAGCUAGAAUUGUACGUAAAAAAACUGGAGAAAAAAGAAAAGAAACGAUUGCAUUCUUAAAGAAACUUUCAACAUUCCUCCUUGCUUUUAUGAAAUGCAAAUGCCAAUUUUCUGUCUGAAAAUCUCGAAUUUGCUGACAUCAACUUCAAUGCCACCCCGCCCAGCAGCUUUGAGAUGACGAUCCAAAACUUUUGGGUCUGCGCAGAUGACUUGUUGCCCCUUUCGAUAUUGGAUUAACUCUAAGCCCUGAAGAGUGGACAAAAUAUCUUCUGCCUUGAUGGCUAUCAUGUCACUUACUUCCUUGAUAGAUAUAUUGCCCUUGUGCUUUUUCAAUAUAUCCAGAAGCACAUGUGUCCAGUAACCCCUAUAGCUCAACAUUCCUAAGUCGGAAAGUGAUCUUUCUGGUGUUCCCACUUUUCCUUCUUUCUUUGAAAGUGCAUAUGGAAAUGCAAUUAGGAAUUUCCCAUAGCCUUUCUUCUGAUAAGGUGGAAGUGUCGGAAUGCAAGCUAAGUUAUAAGACUCUUCUAAAUGCUUUUCCUUUGAAAAGUAGCCAACCAUAUGGCAACCUCGGUCGUCAUAUUUACAAAGCACAUAAAAGAGGAACGGGUUAACAUCAUAAUACAGAGUCUUAUGAUCAAGAAAAAAUUUGGCCAAGUAGCAUAGAUUUUGCCGAUAAACCUUGUUCUUUUUGCCAUCAACCUCAAACAUUGACAGUGUACCACUUCUAUAGAUCUCAUCACCUGGAGGAUGCUUAAGAUCACAUUUUCUUAUGUGCCUCUGAAGCUGCUCUUUGCGCUUCAUAAAAUUGAGACAAAACUCACAAAAGAACAGUUUCGAACAGUCAUUGUAUUCUGGAGGAAAUGGCGAGAAGUACCACGUUUCAAUCUCAUAUCUUCCAAGUUGUAUUGUAGCAAUGUUCUUAACUUGUAUGAACUCUUCUUGCUCUCGUAAACUGGCUGCAUCAAGCUCUUCAUGGACCUCGACACGAGUCUUGUCAAUUUUAUGUUUGUGGUGACAUGUCAUUUUCAAACUUGUCACCUUAUCCUCAACCUUCUCAUCCACAACAGUCUCUACCAAAUUAAUAUCAAGCUGUUCAAGUUUAACCCACUCAUCAAGUCUCCGGUUGAAUUCAGUAUAAAAUAUCAAACUAAAAUCCUCAGAGUUGGACGUAAAAUCAAAACUUGAACUUUCUGUUUUAACAGACUCAUCUUAUCUGGAUCAUCAGGAUUAAAGUCAUCAUCUUCUGAUUCUUCAAAGGAAAUCCCCAAGAUCCCAUAAUCUUUUGGAGGGGCUUCUACCAGCUCUUCAGAUGCAGUAGUAGCAGCUUCCUUGGGAUAUACUUUCUCCCAGCUGUCAGCGACGGAAAGGUCUGUUCCUUGAAGAUCAUUAAGCAAGUCAAUGCAGUCAACUUUGCAAUCGCAACUAGGACAAAGCCAGCCUUCAUCACCAGGUGGAAUGUCUAAAAAAAUGACUCCACACACAACUGGUGAAAUCCACGCUCUUCUUUCAAUGGAUUUAAUGAGAAACUUUUGCCUCUCAUUUUUACUUUAAAUAGGUCUUGUCCAUAUUCCUCCUUGAUCAAGCUGUGUUUAUCUUCGAAAUACAAUUUAAAACCUUUUUCUAAUAACUGACCAACACUUAACAAGUUCUGGUCCAAAUCGGGUACAUAAAGAACAUCGGAAAUUAUUUUAGUGCCCGAUUGUGUUUCAAUUGUAAUGGUUCCAAUUCUUUUUGUUGGAAUAUAACUACCAUGGCCGAUUCUAACUUUUGUAACUUUAGUAGGGCUCAAAUCUUUAAAAAGAUAUUUAUCGCAAGUCAUAUGAUUUGUGCAUCCGCUAUCGAUCAGCCACGACUCGCUUGAGACACUGCUUGUUAAACAUGAUGCGACAAAGAGUUCAUCAACAAUUCGAGCCUCUGCAUCUUGCUGCUGAGUUUUGUUCUUGUAGAUGAUCGUUUCAUGCCCAAGCUGAUUGCACUUACAGCACUUAGCAUCAGGCCUCUCCCAAAACUUGAAAGGUGCACGUCCGAGCUUACCGCAAUGCUUACUAGGAGGGUAGUUUCCUUUGAAACCACCUGUUUUGUUUUUGUUGUUGUGUGUUGCACCUUAUUCAUCAGUUGGUUGGUACUUCUUAUUUUUCUUCUUCUUAAAACGUCCAUCAUCGUGAUGCUUGCUGGUAAGGCACCUUCGACAACUCCUCCUUGUCUUAUAACACGUCGUUGCUCUUGCGCUUGAAAAGCACUUAAGAGCUCUGCAAGUGUGAUCUUAGACAAGUCUUUAGUAUUUUCUAAGGUUGUUAUGGUAGCCUUAAAUCUUUCAGGUACCGUUACUAGGAUUUUUUCAACGAUCCUUGAAUCAUUGAAAGUGGAACCCAACAAUAUGAUGCGAUUUGCUAAAUUAAGAAGUCUAUCAGAGUACUCCUUUAUGGUUUCACUUUUUUUCAUCCUUUGCAGCUCAAACUCACGUACCAGAUUCAUCACUUGCAUCCCUGGAAUCCUUUCAUCUCCUUCAUACUCAGUCUUAAGAUAAUCUCAUACCUCUUUCGCUGAUUGCAGAGACAUGAUGCAAGUCAAGAUAUUAGAUGAAACUACAGUAAAUAAGCAUGCCAUUGCCUUUGAUUUCCUAGUUUUCCUCUCCUUGUGAGUUUUAAUCUGCGCAACCGUUGGAUUGUCCGGCAAGGGAUCUAUCUCGUUUUCAUCUUCAACAGCUUCCCAUAGAUCCAAAGCUUGCAGAUAUAUCCGCAUUCUAACUGCCCAGAUUUGAUAACUUUCUCCAUUGAAAGUUGGUGGUGCCAUUGAAGAAAAAUUUGCUUCUCCGUUCAUGGUAUCCACUGGAUUAGAUUGAUGCACACACUCACAGGUCCCUUAAGAUUAAAGUUCUGAUACCAAUUGUUGAUUUAAAACCAUUAAAGGGAAAUAACACAAGAAUUCAAUUUAAAAGCUAGUCGCUAAAACUGAGAUGGAGUUUGAAGAAGAAAAUAUGUAGAGAGACAGAGAGAGAUUAUUUUCUUGUUAAAAGACUGUGUAUAAUUGCUCAUCAACUUAGCAACUUAAAUAGUUUGCUAUUACAACUAAAAAUAGGACAAAGAAAUAACUUACUUCUACCAAAAUUAAAAUAACUAAUUAGUUUCCUACCAAAGAUAGGACUCCUAAUUUAACUAGGAUUGUACGUAAAAAAAAUUGGAGAAAAAAGAAAAGAGAAGAAACGGUUGCAUUCUUAAAGCAACUUUCAACAGUUUGUCUGAUCAUUAUGUAUAUACAGUGAGCGUGGAGGCUCAGCUGAAAAUGUUGUGAUAUGGCUCCCCUCAAGUUUGUCUGAUCAUUAUGUAUACACACUUAAGUUUGUCUAUUUCGUGUACAUUGCACAACAGUUGCCUGCCACCUGGUUCAGUUGAAUCUACAGAGAAGAAAUCUUACUUGUUGCAACAGAUGCUGACCUUUAUCCCAGCAACUCAGGGAACAUCAACCAUCUCUUUUUGCAUUGCCUAAUGCACAUACUGAACUGAAUCGAAUCUUAUGAUAAUAUGCCUGAACGCCGAACUGUGCUGAACUUUGUGGAUGCACUGAUGCAACUAUAGUAUGCAUGAACUGUACUGUACCUAUAGGGGUCACAGAGCGAUUUAAGGUGUCUGUAAAAACACUGUAUAUAAUUGUUGUAGAUUGAGCGUAGGUUACUUAACUUGUAGCAUUAUCUUCGUCUCUUUGACGUAAAUGAAUUAUACUGGGAGACUUUGAUUUCUUCAAUAAUAAGACUUUCCGUGAAUUAAAAUCACUAUAACUAAGUUCUCUUCGAUUGAAUUUUAACUUAGAUAAGAUAUUAAAUAACUUGGUUUGUUAUUAUCUAAAUCAGUUGACUGAAAACCAAAUCAAUUAAGUGAAACAUUCGGGACCAGCAACGUUUAGAAAAGGCUUAUUAAUGCUUCGAAGGAGGAGUUCAGUAAAUUAUCAGAAACAAUAUUAUUGAAAGAAGAAGAUUGUUGUAGGCAUUAAUGUAAUUCUCAGGAGAAUACACCAAAAGGAAUUUUUCGAUUCAAUGAUCCAAAUUGAUAGAGAUCUCGAGAUAUUACAUAAUCUCAAAUAAUACAUAACACAAAUUGUUUCAAUGAAAGAACACACAACAAGCAAAGCUGAUAAUUUCGGAAUUCAUACAAACAAAUUUUGGCAGAGGAAAUGGAAAUGCUCCAAAUAGGAGGAUGAAAAUGAGUUAAAAAUCAAGGAAUGGUGGAAAAAUAUUGAACAGGAGGAUAUGAUUGUUAUCAGUAGGUUGGUGGGGGAGAUGGUGAUGGCGGUGGGGGUGAAGCAUAGGUGGCAGAUUCCUCGUACUUUGUAGGUGGUGGGGGUGAGGCAUAGGUGGGUGUUUCUUUCUCAUAGUUUGUUGGUGGUGGAGGUGAGUAGUAUGAUGGUGGUUGUUCAUAGGUCUUUGGUGGAGGUGGUGGAGAGUUAUAGUAAGGUGGAGGUGGAGACUUAUAAUUAGUUGGUGACUCCUC